rnacentral:misc_RNA from 1 species
GAAAUGCGAUAAGUAAUGUGAAUUGCAGAAUUCAGUGAAUCAUCGAAUCUUUGAACGCACCUCGCGCUCCUUGGUAUUCCUUGGAGCAUGCCUGUUUGAGUAUCAUGAAAUCUUCAAAGUAAAUCUUUUGUUAACUCAAUUGGUUUCUACUUUGGUAUUGGAGGUCUUUGCAGCUUCACACCUGCUCCUCUUUGUUCAUUAGCUGGAUCUCAGUGUUAUGCUUGGUUCCACUCGGCGUGAUAAGUUAUCUAUCGCUGAGGACACUGUAAAAGGUGGCCAAGGUAAAUGCAGAUGAACCGCUUCUAAUAGUCCAUUGACUUGGACAAUACUUUUAUGAUCUGAUCUCAAUUCAGGUAGGACUACCCGCUGAACUUAAGC